rnacentral:lncRNA from 1 species
GUUUUUAAGCAUUAUCAAGUGUGUCCAAAGCGUUCAAAUUUGUUUUCAUAGAUUCAGUAACUUUUUGGAUUAAUUUGAUUGGUUUAUAUGAAAUUUAUUAUGUAAUUGAAACUGCAAUACACUGGUCAUAUACAAGCUUUCAAGCAAAGAUAGCUGAAGCUUAUUAAAGAUUAUUUCUGCUCAUGGGGGACAGAAAUGCCCAGGUGUACUGAGUAUGGCAUACGUGCUUUGCAUCUCCCAGCUAUCAAGUUAGUAACUCUUGUUUGGAAUUGAGAUGGUCAUUUAAUCCUUUCACAGACGUAGCUUGGUGUGACAUAGUUAAGUGGACAAAGAUAGGAGAGCAACUCCUGUUCUGUGGUGUCCCCAGUACGGUGCAUUAACUCUCUAUACCAGUCAGAGCCAAAAAAUUUCCUGAUGAACGUAACUUUUGUUUUGAAACCCAGACUGUAUUAGCUCAGAGGAAAAUAGGAGUAGUCACAUUAUACUUUCCUUAAACUGAAAUGCACGUGAUAUGAUUCUAGACUGUUCAUACUGGCAACCCUUGGUCAUUCCUGUUUAAAAUGUGUUGCCUGGAACAGUUUGCUUUGAUGGGUGCAGCAUAUGGUCCCUUUCACAUGCUUUCCCUGAUCCCAUGUCAUUCCUAUGCCAGGUGAACUGGUCCUUCAUCUUAUGCCUAUAAAUUUUGUUCAUAACCAGUAAUGCUAAUCACAUAGUUACUCAUCUCUUCCUGUGAUGUGGGUUCAGAUCUGUAUGUGUAAUCAGUUAUGUUUUAUGUUUUGCUGGGUCUGCCAUGAUAUCACAGAUGUAUGGAUGGCUGAAAAAACCAGAAAUUUACUUUCUUACAGUUCAGGAGGCCAGACAGCAAAGAUCAAGCUGUUGGCAGAUUGGUUACUUCUGUGGCACCUCUCCUUGGCAUGUAGAUAUCUGACCUUUGGCUGUGUUUUCACAAGGUCAUCUACUGCCCAUAGUUCUUCAUUUUUGUAUAUGAUUCUAGAAAAGAAACCUUGUGGCCUAUACGGGCCAAGGGGAGAUGAGCCUUUCCCUGGGGGUGGAGGAAAAUGAUCAGGAUCAUGAGGAUGACGACAAAGGCUGAGAGGAAGAGGAAGGUCAGAAAGACUGAAACCACAUUGCAGGUGGAUUCUUUACCAGGUGAGCCACCAGGGAAGAUCCUGGUAUGGACUGCAGCAUACCAGGGUUCCCUGUUCUUCACUGUCCCCCAGAGUUUGCUCAAAUUCAUGCCCAUUGAGUCGGUGAUGCUGUCUAACCAUCUCACCCUCUGUCACCCUCUUCUUCUUUUGCUUUCAGUCUUUCCCAGCAUCAUACCAUAGCCUGGAUCCGCUCCCAUGGCUCGGACCACAGAGAGUUCUGUGCUUUAUUUGAUGAGUUAGAUGCCCAAUAUGGAAGUGUGUUCUGCUCCACAGGACUGAAGUGGCUGAGUCGUGGUGUAG